rnacentral:rRNA from 1 species
UUUAUUGGAGAGUUUGAUCCUGGCUCAGGAUGAACGCUGGCGGCGUGCCUAAUACAUGCAAGUCGAGCGAAUGGAUUGAGAGCUUGCUCUCAAGAAGUUAGCGGCGGACGGGUGAGUAACACGUGGGUAACCUGCCCAUAAGACUGGGAUAACUCCGGGAAACCGGGGCUAAUACCGGAUAACAUUUUGAACUGCAUGGUUCGAAAUUGAAAGGCGGCUUCGGCUGUCACUUAUGGAUGGACCCGCGUCGCAUUAGCUAGUUGGUGAGGUAACGGCUCACCAAGGCAACGAUGCGUAGCCGACCUGAGAGGGUGAUCGGCCACACUGGGACUGAGACACGGCCCAGACUCCUACGGGAGGCAGCAGUAGGGAAUCUUCCGCAAUGGACGAAAGUCUGACGGAGCAACGCCGCGUGAGUGAUGAAGGCUUUCGGGUCGUAAAACUCUGUUGUUAGGGAAGAACAAGUGCUAGUUGAAUAAGCUGGCACCUUGACGGUACCUAACCAGAAAGCC